GGCGUACGGGUGCGGAACACGUGUGCAACUGCUUUAUCUGGGGGAUAGCCUUUCGAAAGGAAGAUUAAUACCCCAUAAUAUGUUGAAUGGCAUCAUUCGACAUUGAAACCUCCGGUGGAUAGAGAUGGGCACGCGCAAGAUUAGAUAGUUGGUGAGGUAACGGUCACCAAGUCUACGAUCUUUAGGGGGCCUGAGAGGGUGAUCCCCCGACUGGUACUGAGACACGGACCAGAAUCCUACGGGAGGCAAGUGAGGAAUAUUGGACAAUGGGUGAGAGCCUGAUCCAGCCAUCCCGCGUGGAGGACGAUGGCCUAUGGGUUGGAAACUUCUUUGUAUAGGGAUAAAACCUACCCUCGUGAGGGUAGCUGAAGGUACUAUACGAAUAAGCACCGGCUAACUCCGUGCCAGCAGCCCGCGGUAAUACGGAGGGUGCAAGCGUCAUCCCGGAUCUAUUGGGGGUUUAAAGGGUCCGUAGGCGGAUCUGUCAAGUCCAGUUGGUUGAAAUCUCCACCAGGCUUUAAANCUUGGUGGAAAACUUGGCCCAUUGGAUCACCUUGGGCACGGGUACUNUGGAAGCUCGGAAGGCGAAAGUCACGCUUG
rnacentral:rRNA from 1 species